rfam:Gossypium arboreum cultivar AKA8401 contig_295_5, whole genome shotgun sequence.
UGCUAAAAAUUUCAUCUAUUUGUACUGUUAAAAACUGGCGUGGCUAAUGGAAUAACUAGAUAGUGAGAUGUGCCGUGCUGUGUGUUCCUCAUGUUGAUAUACAAAGACCAAUUUUUAACAAUAGAAAUAGAUGGAAUUUUUAACA